GGUAAAAUGGCUGAGGUUAGGCGGUAAAUUGUAAAUUUAAUUACGGGUUUCGACUCUUUUAUCA
rnacentral:tRNA from 1 species